GUUGUCCGGAAUUAUUGGGCGUAAAGGGCUCGUAGGCGGUCUGUCGCGUCGGGAGUGAAAACUCAGGGCUUAACCCUGAGCCUGCUUCCGAUACGGGCAGACUAGAGGUAUGCAGGGGAGAACGGAAUUCCUGGUGUAGCGGUGGAAUGCGCAGAUAUCAGGAGGAACACCGGUGGCGAAGGCGGCUCUCUGGGUCUGUCCUGACGCUCAGGCGCGAAAGCUAGGGGAGCAAACAGG
rnacentral:rRNA from 1 species